rnacentral:pre_miRNA from 1 species
UACUUAUUCUACCUGUGUAUCAUUUAAUGACCAGUGUGAGGGGAAUAAAAUGUACUGUGGUUCUCUUUUGCGGCUGAAGAGUAAUGUAGUGUUCAGGUC